rnacentral:rRNA from 1 species
GGAUGAGCCCGCGGCCUAUCAGCUUGUUGGUGGGGUAAUGGCCUACCAAGGCGACGACGGGUAGCCGGCCUGAGAGGGCGACCGGCCACACUGGGACUGAGACACGGCCCAGACUCCUACGGGAGGCAGCAGUGGGGAAUAUUGCACAAUGGGCGAAAGCCUGAUGCAGCGACGCCGCGUGAGGGAUGACGGCCUUCGGGUUGUAAACCUCUUUCAGCAGGGACGAAGCGCAAGUGACGGUACCUGCAGAAGAAGCACCGGCCAACUACGUGCCAGCAGCNCGCG